rnacentral:lncRNA from 1 species
GCUGUGGCGGCCCCAGCGGCAGCAGGUGUGGAUGGGGCGGAGGUGUGGGACCUUCCACUCCCGCCCGCCCCUGCCGGGGUUCGAGGCCGCGGACCGCCACAGACGGGGUCCCCGGCGCAGCUUUGCGAGCGGCUUCGACCAGCUCACAACUUAGGAUGCGGCCCCGAGCGCGCAGGUCCCACGUUCCGCUCCUGGAAGAGGAAGACGCGCGUCCCCGGCCGCGGCGUCCGCGCGCGCCGUCUUGGACGCGAAAGUGAAGAGGCGGCCGCGAGAAGACCGGGGCUGGGGGACCGGCUGCGGCCCCUGCCGAGGUGCCGGGUCGAGGCCGGGCGGCACCUCUGUCCUCCUAUUAAGACCCGUAGGCUCUCCACCCCUCAUGGAUUGACCUUUGGAUCAUCUACUUCUGGAGUCAGACAUGAAGUAUCUAUCUUUCUUUGAUGAAAAGUUGGUUUAUGCAAUUGUAUGAUAGAGACGGAUUCCCUGGAAGUAUCUCCUCAUGGCCAACGCAGGGCCCUCCACUCCCAAGAGAGAUUCUUCCUCUCCCAUCUCCUGCAGCAAACAGGCCUCCAGGUCCUCCAGCUGUCGAUGAAGAGUCGAGAGCAAUUGGUCCACGAGGGUCGUGUUCCAGGCUGCAGUGGAGCCCUCUGGGUGGAAGAGGUUGAAGAUCUGCUGGAACGUCUCAUGGAGGACGAACUUGGCCUGGAUCUUCUGGACCUGGCUGCCAUUCACCAUCUCCCGGGGGAAUCUGAAGUCAGUCCUGUCCUUCAGGCAGGAAAAAGGGAAGAUUCUCCCCAUUUGUCCCAGAAGCACAGAGGUCUUUCUGCAAACGAGGACAUGGCUCUGAGGCAGGUCACAGCUGAGAGAUGGAACAGGGCCACAGCUGAACACCACCAGGGCCAUCAGCAGAGAGAGCUGGAGGGCCAUUGUGGAAACUGAGGAUGCUGCUGGCCUUGCUGAGCUGGACGUCUGUGUGAGCCUUGGACCCUAGGAGCUCUGAAGAUGCUCUUCCUAGGCAUGGCUUUUAAAGAGGGAACUCAAAGGCUUUCAUUUUCUCAAUGUUUCUCCACACUUUUACUUCCAUUUUUUGUUUUCAUUUACAUGUUCUUCACUUCUCCUGAGAAGAUGUCAUUAAUCUAUACACUUAAUUUUCCAAAAGAAGUUUAGUUUUCCCAGUAAACUUCAAAUGGUCCAAUCUUAAUGAAUACUUAUUGAUCAAAUGUGAAAUGUCUUCUUCCUAAAGUCAGAGUAUAUCUAUGCAUUUAAAUGCACAAACAUACAUUUUUAAACGUAUACAUAUUGCUCUUUCCAUAGUAGGAAUUAAUUUUUGGUCAUCAUCUUGGGUCCAUUUUUAUCCUGCUUAAGAAGUUAGUCUCCUUUGGCCCUAAGGGUUCUGUAUUAGGGAUUUACCAGGACAUCUGUGGCAAAUAAGCUCUUCAAAAUCAAGGACUCAGUAUUGCUCACUUUUUAUUCACAGCAUAGGCUGAUGAUUAUUUGACAAUAAGUUUCUCCUACACUUUUUCUACCUAUAGAAUACAUCCUUGUAGUCCAUGUGGUUAUGUUUCACUGGGGCAUUAAUUUCAGGAUUAUAAUAGUGCACUUUCUUUCCAUCAUUUUCUUACUGGAUGUCGUCAGUGCCUCUCAGGCUAUGCCAAUACUCCUUG